GACGAACGCUGGCGGCGUGCCUAAUACAUGCAAGUCGAGCGAACAGAUGAAGUGCUUGCGCUUCUGACGUUAGCGGCGAACGGGUGAGUAACACGUAAGGAAUCUACCUAUAAGCGGGGGAUAACAUUCGGAAACGGGUGCUAAUACCGCAUAAUAUCUUCUUCCGCAUGGAAGAAGAUUGAAAGACAGCUAUGCUGUCACUUAUAGAUGACCUCGCGGUGCAUUAGUUAGUUGGUGGGGUAAUGGCCUACCAAGACGAUGAUGCAUAGCCGACCUGAGAGGGUGAUCGGCCACAUUGGGACUGAGACACGGCCCAAACUCCUACGGGAGGCAGCAGUAGGGAAUCUUCCGCAAUGGGCGAAAGCCUGACGGAGCAAUGCCGCGUGAGUGAAGAAGGCCUUCGGGUCGCAAAACUCUGUUAUAAGAGAAGAACAAAUUGUAGAGUAACUGCUACAGUCUUGACGGUAUCUUAUCAGAAAGCCACGGCUAACUACGUGCCAGCCGCCGCUGUAA
rnacentral:rRNA from 1 species